rnacentral:rRNA from 1 species
UAUGAACGCUAGCGGCAGGCUUAAUACAUGCAAGUCGAGGGGCAGCAGGCCCCGACGCAAGUCGGGGUGCUGGCGACCGGCAAACGGGUGCGGAACACGUACACAACCUUCCUUUAAGUGGGGAAUAGCCCAGAGAAAUUUGGAUUAAUACCCCGUAACAUUAUGAUGUGGCAUCACAUUAUAAUUAUAGCUCCGGCGCUUAAUGAUGGGUGUGCGGCUGAUUAGAUAGUUGGCGGGGUAACGGCCCACCAAGCCUGCGAUCAGUAACUGGUGUGAGAGCACGACCAGUCACACGGGCACUGAGACACGGGCCCGACUCCUACGGGAGGCAGCAGUAAGGAAUAUUGGGCAAUGGAGGCAACUCU